GAAACUGGCAAACCAGGGUGCAAUACCGAUACUGACCAUGUGGACUAAUCAUAUUCCUGGACCACACAGGCACAUAUAGAACAGCACACACCCAGAGAUCUACAAACAGCACAGAGUGAAGGGAUUCCACCAUCCAGACUAGAUCAGUCAGCUUCCACUCUUCCUCCUAACCAGGACACCAGCAGACAGGAAGUCCUUCCUCCUAAAGAGUCCCCACAUCUACCAGACAACUGGAGUGCUGUCUGUUCAUGUACUUCCACACAUCCACUGAUAUAAAUCACCAUUACAGAACAGAGACUGAAGGGCUGCUUCUGAACUGUACUGGAUACACCUGCACCUCCACACUGAGGAACACAAGAUUAUCACAACAUUUACAUUUAACUCAUUAAGAUGUCAAAGUGGGGACAGUCACAUUAAUGCUGUUGACCUGCAGGUGAAGAGCAUGAGACAGUAGUUACGUCCUGUGUCCCCCUGUGUCAUAUGUAUGUGUGUGUGGAGCUCUGUUCUCUCCAGUUCCAGUUUCCCCAGACCCAGUCCAGAGUUCCUCUACAGAUCUUCAUACUCACUGUCCAGUCCUGAAACAAGGCCCUGCCCCAAGGAGGGAUAUAAGGAAGUGUAUUGGAGGAAGAAGAAAGAGAAAGAUGAUAUUUUGGACAUCUGUUUGUGUCAGUUUUGAUAUUUGAUUUGGUGCUUGGCCUCUUUUUCCCCUUACUCUGAUUCUGAGCUUGUUUGAUCCCUCUAACUUGGCCACUGUUGUAAAUUUGUUUAUAGUAUGUAUGUAUUUGCGCAUAGCAUACAAAUUUAUUAUUUUUGUUUGCUCUGCUAAUUAGGGAAGGGCUGCCGUUGUGUUUAGGCCCUGGGUUAUUUUGUCUGUGUUCUCACUUAGGGAGUUAAUGCAGUCUUAUCUUAGUAUAGGAUAUUAUCAGAGGAUGGUUGUGAUCCAUCAGCCUCUGGGUUAUGGUCCCAGCACACUUCCACUGCACCACUCUGCUCUCCUGCUAAUAGAGAAAUAAUAAAAUACCUACAAACUCA